rnacentral:rRNA from 1 species
UACGGAGGGGGCGAGCGUUAUUCGGAAUUAUUGGGCGUAAAGGGUGCGUAGGCGGAUUAGUAAGUCAGUGGUGAAAGCCCAUCGCUUAACGGUGGAAUUGCCAUUGAUACUGCUAGUCUUGAGUAUGGUUGAGGUGGGCGGAAUGUGUCAUGUAGCGGUGAAAUGCUUAGAUAUGACCCAGAACACCAAUUGCGAAGGCAGCUCGCUAAACCAUAACUGACGCUGAUGCACGAAAGCGUGGGGAGCAAACAGG